GUUAUAUGGUCAAGCGAAUAAGCGCACACGGUGGAUGCCUUGGCGGUCAGAGGCGAUGAAGGACGUGGCAGCCUGCGAAAAGUAUCGGGGAGCUGGCAACAAGCUUUGAUCCGGUAAUGUCCGAAUGGGGAAACCCACCCGCUUGCGGGUAUCCUGCAGUGAAUACAUAGCUGCUGGAAGCGAACCUGGUGAACUGAAAUAUCUAAGUAACCAGAGGAAAAGAAAUCAACCGAGAUUCCGUAAGUAGCGACGAGCGAACGCGGACUAGCCCUUAAGCUGAUUUGGUUCUAGGAAAACGCUCUGGAAAGAGCGGCCAUAGAAGGUGAUAGCCCUGUAUCUGAAAGGGCCAUUUCAGUGAAGACGAGUAGGGCGGGGCACGUGAAACCCUGUCUGAACAUGGGGGGACCAUCCUCCAAGGCUAAAUACUACUGACCGACCGAUAGUGAACCAGUACCGUGAGGGAAAGGCGAAAAGAACCCCGGAGAGGGGAGUGAAAUAGAACCUGAAACCGUGUGCGUACAAGCAGUAGGAGCUCCGCAAGGAGUGACUGCGUACCUUUUGUAUAAUGGGUCAGCGACUUACUGUUCGUGGCAAGCUUAACCGUAUAGGGGAGGCGAAGGGAAACCGAGUCUGAUAAGGGCGCAUAGUCGCGGGCAGUAGACCCGAAACCGGGUGAUCUAGUCAUGCCCAGGGUGAAGGUGCGGUAACACGCACUGGAGGCCCGAACCCACUCCCGUUGCAAAGGUAGGGGAUGAGGUGUGAUUAGGAGUGAAAAGCUAAUCGAACCCGGAGAUAGCUGGUUCUCCUCGAAAGCUAUUUAGGUAGCGCCUCAUAUGUAUCCUCUCGGGGGUAGAGCACUGUUAUGGCUAGGGGGUCAUCGCGACUUACCAAACCAUUGCAAACUCCGAAUACCGAGACGGACUGUAUGGGAGACACACGGCGGGUGCUAACGUCCGUCGUGAAAAGGGAAACAACCCAGACCCACAGCUAAGGUCCCAAAUUCACUGCUAAGUGGAAAACCAUGUGGAAAGGCACAGACAGCCAGGAGGUUGGCUUAGAAGCAGCCACCCUUUAAAGAAAGCGUAAUAGCUCACUGGUCGAGUCGGUCUGCGGGGAAGAUUUAACGGGGCUAAGCAGUGAACCGAAGCUUGGGGUGCAUAACUUUGUUAUGCGCGGUAGAGGAGCGUUCCGUAAGCCGUUGAAGGUGGAUUGAGAAGUCUGCUGGAGGUAUCGGAAGUGCGAAUGCUGACAUGAGUAACGAUAAUGCGGGUGAAAAACCCGCACGCCGAAAGCCCAAGGUUUCCUUGCGCAACGUUAAUCGGCGCAGGGUGAGUCGGCCCCUAAGGCGAGGACGAAAGUCGUAGUCGAUGGGAAGCAGGUUAAUAUUCCUGCACCUCGCGUAAGUGCGAUGGAGGGACGGAGAAGGUUAGGUGUACCAGGCGUUGGUUGUCCUGGGGAAAGGCGGUAGGUUUGGAUCUUUGGCAAAUCCGGGAUCCUCUAAGACCGAGCACCGAGACGAGCCUUUAUGGCAAAGUCACUGAUACCACGCUUCCAGGAAAAGCUCCUAAGCUUCAGCUUACGCAGACCGUACCGUAAACCGACACAGGUGGGUAGGAUGAGAAUUCUCAGGCGCUUGAGAGAACUCGGGUGAAGGAACUAGGCAACAUGGCACCGUAACUUCGGGAGAAGGUGCACCCUUUUUGGUGGCUCGUGCGAGCUAUAGCUGAAGAGGGUCGCAGUAACCAGGCCGCUGCGACUGUUUAUCAAAAACACAGCACUCUGCAAACACGAAAGUGGACGUAUAGGGUGUGACGCCUGCCCGGUGCUGGAAGGUUAAUUGAUGGGGUCAGCCGCAAGGCGAAGCUCUUGAUCGAAGCCCCAGUAAACGGCGGCCGUAACUAUAACGGUCCUAAGGUAGCGAAAUUCCUUGUCGGGUAAGUUCCGACCUGCACGAAUGGCGUAACGACAGCGGCGCUGUCUCCACCCGAGACUCAGUGAAAUUGAAAUCGCUGUGAAGAUGCAGCGUUCCCGUGGCAAGACGGAAAGACCCCGUGAACCUUUACUAUAGCUUUACACUGAACGUUGAGUUCGUCUGUGUAGGAUAGGUGGGAGGCUAUGAAACUGUGGCGCUAGCUGCAGUGGAGCCAUCCUUGAAAUACCACCCUGUCGUGCUUGACGUUCUAACCUGGGCCCAUUAUCUGGGUCGGGGACCGUGUAUGGUGGGUAGUUUGACUGGGGCGGUCUCCUCCUAAAGAGUAACGGAGGAGCUCGAAGGUACGCUCAGCGCGGUCGGACAUCGCGCACUGUGUGCAAAGGCAUAAGCGUGCUUGACUGCAAGAUCGACGGAUCAAGCAGGUAGGAAACUAGGACUUAGUGAUCCGGUGGUUCUGUAUGGAAGGGCCAUCGCUCAACGGAUAAAAGGUACUCCGGGGAUAACAGGCUGAUACCGCCCAAGAGUUCAUAUCGACGGCGGUGUUUGGCACCUCGAUGUCGGCUCAUCACAUCCUGGGGCUGUAGUCGGUCCCAAGGGUAUGGCUGUUCGCCAUUUAAAGUGGUACGCGAGCUGGGUUCAGAACGUCGUGAGACAGUUCGGUCCCUAUCUGCCAUGGGCGUUGGAGAUUUGAGAGGGGCUGCUCCUAGUACGAGAGGACCGGAGUGGACGAACCUCUGGUGUUCCGGUUGUCACGCCAGUGGCAUUGCCGGGUAGCUAUGUUCGGAAGCGAUAACCGCUGAAAGCAUCUAAGCGGGAAGCGCGCCUCAAGAUGAGAUCUCCCGGGGCACAAGCCCCCUGAAGGAACCAUGUAGACUACGUGGUUGAUAGGUCAGGUGUGUAAGUACAGCAAUGUAUUGAGCUAACUGAUACUAAUGAUCCGAGAGGCUUGACCAUAUAACCU
rnacentral:rRNA from 1 species